rnacentral:rRNA from 1 species
AUUGAACGCUGGCGGCAUGCCUUACACAUGCAAGUCGAACGGCAGCACGGGAGCAAUCCUGGUGGCGAGUGGCGAACGGGUGAGUAAUACAUCGGAACGUGCCCAGUAGUGGGGGAUAACCCGGCGAAAGCCGGACUAAUACCGCAUACGACCUAUGGGUGAAAGCAGGGGAUCGCAAGACCUUGCGCUAUCGGAGCGGCCGAUGUCAGAUUAGCUUGUUGGNGGGGUAAAAGCCUACCAAGGCGACGAUCUGUAGCUGGUCUGAGAGGACGACCAGCCACACUGGGACUGAGACACGGCCCAGACUCCGUACGGGAGGCAGCAGGUGGGGUAAUUUUGGACAAUGGGCGCAAGCCUGAUCCAGCCAUGCCGCGUGCGGGAAGAAGGCCU